rnacentral:lncRNA from 1 species
CUGGAGGUUGCUGGGGUCCGUGAAAACCUUGGCACAGUUCUCACACUCGUAGUGCUUGCCGCUGUCAUGCGACAUUUGGUGCCGUAUCAAGUUGGACUUCCAGUUGAAAGCUUUGGGGCACUGGUCGCACUUGUACUCCCGCUCCUCGCUGUGGGACAGCAUGUGCUUCUCCAGGCUUUGUAAGUCUGGGAAGACUUGAUCACACUCUUUACACUCCUGGAUUUCAUGCACAUCCCG